rnacentral:tRNA from 1 species
GGCAGUAUGGCCGAGCUAGGCGGUAAGCUGUAAAUUUACUCACGGAGAUUCCUACUGUCA